ensembl:lncRNA
CGUCACACACCCGCGCACACACAGUUGCCCCUACUGACAUACUUGCACAUGCAGGUUUCACAUACACAGACACGCGUGCCCAAGCACGCCCAUGGACACACAUACGCCUGGGCUCUGCGCGCACACACGUGCGCACAAUCACACCCGAUUGUAACAGACAGGCGCACAGGUUUCACACAUGCGCCAUGCACACAAUCACACCUGACACAUGUGCAUGCAGUUUCACACCUGCACCAUGCACACACAAUCACACCUGACACGUGUGCGUCUACAGGUGUCACAUGCACGCAUCACACCCACUGACACACGAACAUGCACACAUAGGUUUUACACACACAAUCCCACGCACCAACACGUGGGCACGCACAUACAGGUUUUGCGCAUAUGCACCAUGUGUGCAUAAUCGCAGCCACUGAUGCACACGCAGAUUUCAUGCACACAGGCAUGCUCAUGUGUAGUUUUUAGACACAUGCACAAUCACACCCACCAACACACGCAUAGGUUUCAGGUACACACACAUGCACAAUCACACCCACUGACACACACAGGCUACAGACACACCAGCACAGUUAUGCACUGGUGACACACACGGGCAUGCACACACAGGUUUCAGGGAUGCGGAUGGGAGGAGAGCGGUGGCCCACCUUCCAAGCCCCGUUUCCAGGCAGGGGGCCGGCCCCAGGCGUGCACACGCUGACACAAUCACGUUGACACACGCACGCCCCGGCACACUCGCAGUGACACACACUCGCGCGCACACUCAGGCCCGGCGGCCGGCGCGCGGUGCUGACUGGUGAUACCACCAGCAGCACAAGACCACUCGGUACAACACAGGGGCCUGGCUUCAGACUUGCCCCCAGGAAACGGGGCCGAGAUAUGUUACGUUGGUGCUCUAUAAAUACUUCAAAUAGAUUAUAGAGACCCAUCAAGUGACACGGUGACCCAUCUCAUUUCAGUAUGAGGAGAACGGAAGAUAAUUGCGGCAUAGAAAGAAUGGUCCUGUGGCGGCCGGACAAGAACAACUUUCAGAUUCUUUUGAUCAUCUCUGCGUCCGGGUUCUGCAGCCUGUCCUGUGAACCUCUCCUUUCCUCCCCGUGUACCCUUGCUGUGAGAGUGCUAUUAUGUUGGUCUCCCAAAUGUCCUGACUGGUGGUGUUAUGUGGGGAUGUGCCAUAGCGGGAUGUAUUGCUUAUGCCAUGUUUGUGUGUGUCAUGUUAGAGCCGUUAACGUAAUGGGCUGUGACUGCAGCCUGACAGGAUGCGUCAUGCUUAAAUAAAUCCACUCGGAGUUUCAAAGUAACCGGGUGUCUGCUAAAUAUUACAGUGCAGUCCAGGAUAUUCUCAGGAUAUCCUGUUCAUAGUGGCCAAGCGCAGUGAGAAUCCACUUGGCCCACUCCAUAAUGGCAUGAGCAAUACUGAAGAGGCUUUAGACUAGAUGAGAAGGGUUGCAAUGAACAGGAAAGGACUUUAUCGCUCAGUGGGGUUGAGAAAGGAGUGGGUGGGUGGAAGCAGCUCAGGGAGACCCUUGCCACGUUGCAGAGUCCUGCAAGCAGAGGAGUGGAAAGGCUGAAGGUGACUAACACAAUGACACUGGGAGGAAACUUGCUAUAGUUAUCCAUCCUCCAUCAUUUUCUCUUUCCACCCUGCAUCAUUUGGGAACAAAGUGCUAGUGGCCAUUGCUGCCAGCUGUCCAUCCUGAACGGGAGCAAGGGUUGGGAGAAGAACAGACUCGCUGGCUGGGGAAGCUGAACAUAACAUGACUGCAGCGUGACCAACA